GACGUAGGGCGCGAGCGUUGUCCGGAUUUAUUGGGCGUAAAGAGCUCGUAGGCGGCUUGUUGCGUCAGCUGUGAAAACCCGCAGCUCAACUGCUGGGUCUGCAGUGAUACGGGCAGGCUAGAGUUCGGUAGGGGAGACUGGAAUUCCUGGUGUAGCGGUGAAAUGCGCAGAUAUCAGGAGGAACACCGGUGGCGAAGGCGGGUCUCUGGGCCGAUACUGACGCUGAGGAGCGAAAGCGUGGGGAGCGAACAGG
rnacentral:rRNA from 1 species